UGUUAAAAAUUUUAUCCAUUUGUACUAUUAAAAAUUAGCAUUACUGAUGGAAUAACUAGACAGUUACAUGCGGCGUGUCACAUGUACCUCAUGUUGAUGUAUAAUAACUACCUUUUAAUAUUAGAAAUAAGUUAAUUUUUAACA
rfam:Gossypium raimondii Chr04_contig_49, whole genome shotgun sequence.